rnacentral:rRNA from 1 species
AGAAUCAACGCUGGCGGCGCGCUUAACACAUGCAAGUCGCACGAGAAAGGGAGCAAUCCUAAGUAAAGUGGCGCACGGGUGAGUAACACGUGGAUCAUCUACCUUUUAGUGGGGAAUACCUCUGGGAAACCGGAGACAAUACCGCAUAAGCCCGCAAGGGGAAAGCAGCAAUGCGCUGAAAGAGGAGUCCGCGGCCGAUUAGCUAGUUGGCGGGGUAAUGGCCCACCAAGGCGAAGAUCGGUAGCCGGCCUGAGAGGGCACACGGCCACACUGGCACUGAAACACGGGCCAGACUCCUACGGGAGGCAGCAGUGGGGAAUCUUGCACAAUGGGCGAAAGCCUGAUGCAGCGACGCCGCGUGAGCGAUGAAGCCCUUCGGGGUGUAAAGCUCUUUCGACGGGAACGAUAAUGACGGUACCCGGAGAAGAAGCUGCGGCUAACUACGUGCCAGCAGCCGC